GAUAAAAAAUAUGGUGGGGAGCCAUUUUUCCUGCCAAGGGACCCUAAUAGCGAAUCAGACGAUGAUGGGUACAUUCUUGCUUUUGUCCAUGACGAGAAGAAGUGGAAAUCGGAACUUCAAAUUGUGAAUGCCAUGAAUUUACAGUUAGAAGCCACGGUUAAGCUACCUUCCAGGGUUCCCUACGGGUUUCAUGGCACAUUCAUUGACUCAAACGACGUGGUGAAUCAAGCAUAGCCUUAUUUACUACUACCUGCAGCUGCAAAGGGUUAUGUUUAAUACUUCCUUUUUUUCUCGUUCUUUACUUGUUUGUGUGAAAAUUACCCAAGAAAGGAGAUUAUUACCUGAGGGAUGGUGGUUUUGUCCCCGGAAUCUCCUGGACAU
rnacentral:misc_RNA from 1 species